rnacentral:tRNA from 1 species
UUAGUUAUAGCAUGAUGGUAAUGUCUAAUAUUUAGGAUAUUCUUUAUGAGAGUUUUAAUCUAUUUAUUUAUA